GUAGGGUGCGAGCGUUAAUCGGAAUUACUGGGCGUAAAGCGUGCGCAGGCGGUUUUAUAAGACAGAGGUGAAAUCCCCGGGCUUAACCUGGGAACUGCCUUUGUGACUGCAAGGCUUGAGUGCGGCAGAGGGGGAUGGAAUUCCGCGUGUAGCAGUGAAAUGCGUAGAUAUGCGGAGGAACACCGAUGGCGAAGGCAAUCCCCUGGGCCUGCACUGACGCUCAUGCACGAAAGCGUGGGGAGCAAACAGGAUUAGAUACCCUGGUAGUCCACGCCCUAAACGAUGUCAACUGGUUGUUGGACGGCUUGCUGUUCAGUAACGUAGCUAACGCGUGAAGUUGACCGCCUGGGGAGUACGGCCGCAAGGUUG
rnacentral:rRNA from 1 species